rnacentral:rRNA from 1 species
CUCGUAGGCGGUUCGACAAGUCGGGUGUGAAAACUCCGGGCUCAACCCGGAGACGCCACCCGAUACUGUCGUGACUGGAGUCCGGUAGGGGAGUGGGGAAUUCCUGGUGUAGCGGUGAAAUGCGCAGAUAUCAGGAGGAACACCGGUGGCGAAGGCGCCACUCUGGGCCGGUACUGACGCUGAGGAGCGAAAGCGUGGGUAGCAAACAGGAUUAGAUACCCUGGUAGUCCACGCCGUAAACGUUGGGCACUAGGUGUGGGUCGUUAUCAACGCGAUCCGUGCCGUAGCUAACGCAUUAAGUGCCCCGCCUGGGGAGUACGGCCGCAAGGCUAAA